AAGUCGUAACAAGGUUUCCGUAGGUGAACCUGCGGAAGGAUCAUAACCCCCCUGUGAACCUUUAGUGUGCUCGUACGCUUUGUCAGAGCGUGGCAAUCCCUAGUAAAUCAUCGCCGAACAGUUUUCGAUUUAGGGACUUCCACAAAGAGUGUGCUGCAAGUGGCAUUCCCAAGCAGUUUGUGUCUGAAAGUGUCACUGGCUGUGCAAGGAUGGCGCAGUCACGAUCGUUGGAGCGGGCUCACGCCCCUUAAUCACAACUUAAUGCAUGCGCCUGCGCUUAAUUGUACGGCCAUAAAACUCGAACAACUGGAAAUAUCUUGGUUCUC
rnacentral:misc_RNA from 1 species